AUUCUACCAAUUUGUAAAAAUUAGUAGUUCUUUUCUUAUCAAUUAGUACUUAAUUGUCACUUGUGGUUUAUUUUAGUGUGAAGUGUUAAUGUAGAGAUUCUUUAAAAGAAAAUAUUUCGAAGAAAAUGUUGAUGCGAAGAUAUCGAAUAAAAUGAAUUUUGAUGUUGCACAACUUGCUAUAGAUCCUAGAAUAAGGAAGAAAUAAUUAUCUUAUUAGUGUUGUCGUUAUGUUAUUUUUAGUAUUGUCAUAAUAUCAUAAAAUCUAUAAUCGAAAAGUUCGACUUUGGUUAAAUUUUGCCCGCACUGGACAAAAUUCCUGGCUCCGCCCCUAUUCAUAAUUGCUUGUUUUCUUGAUGGAGAAAGGAUAAUGAUGUUCAGAUGUCUUACCAUUGGACUCGCUAAGGCAUGUUUUUAGGUGCUAAUUUGGAUAGAAAGCAUUUGCUACGUAUUGCCCAAAAAGAGGCUUUUAGUAGUGCAAAAUAUGCCAGUAAUUCAUCUAUUAUGCUUGCAAGCCUUGAUAUUCUUUUCUUUAUGCAAAUUACUAGCUCUUUAUGCAUUUUCUUUUAAAUGGACCAUACUCCGCAGGAGGAGAGUGCAAAAUGAAAUGAACAAGAAAUGACUUAGAAAUCUCUAUCUCCAGGGAUUUAAAACGAGCAACAAUGUCUCUUAUUUUCAUUAUGUAUUCACGCACACCAUUAGAAUUGUCAAACUUCAUACCUGAAAGCCUUUCAUUAAGGUACUAGACAACAUUAUGUCAGAACUUACAAAAUGUUCUUCAAUAGCCUUUAUAAAGUUCUUGGCCUUAUCCCAGUGAGGGAAUUGAUCCCCUGAUGCGUUUACUGACAUGAGUCUUUAUGAGACUCACACUCAAGCGAUUGAAUGUUUCCCACAAUUCAUACAAUGGCCUCUCCCUGGAGUACUUGAUCCAUAGAGUCAAGUGACUCAUCCACACGAGGCUCCAAGUCAAGAUUCAUACAUCCUAAAGUAAUGAGAAUUUUCUCCUUCCUAUUAGAAAUGUAAUCACCACAUAGAAUUAUAAUUCUAAUAGAGUUAUUAGAAAACACUAGAAUCACUGCACAAUGUAAACAUUUAUUAAUACUAUAAA
rnacentral:lncRNA from 1 species